rnacentral:rRNA from 1 species
GAUGAACGCUGGCGGCGUGCCUAAUACAUGCAAGUCGAGCGAACAGACGAGGAGCUUGCUCCUCUGACGUUAGCGGCGGACGGGUGAGUAACACGUGGAUAACCUACCUAUAAGACUGGGAUAACUUCGGGAAACCGGAGCUAAUACCGGAUAAUAUAUUGAACCGCAUGGUUCAAUAGUGAAAGACGGUUUUGCUGUCACUUGUAGAUGGAUCCGCGCCGCAUUAGCUAGGUGGUAAGGUAACGGCUUACCAAGGCAACGAUGCGUAGCCGACCUGAGAGGGUGAUCGGCCACACUGGAACUGAGACACGGUCCAGACUCCUACGGGAGGCAGCAGUAGGGAAUCUUCCGCAAUGGGCGAAAGCCUGACGGAGCAACGCCGCGUGAGUGAUGAAGGUCUUCGGAUCGUAAAACUCUGUUAUUAGGGAAGAACAAAUGUGUAAGUAACUAUGCACGUCUUGACGGUACCUAAUCAGAAAGCCACGGCUAACUACGUG